CCAGAUCCCCAGUCUGCUGCAAAUGUGCCACGUCAAGACUGGAAAUCACAGCACUUCAGUGUGUUUCAGUGAGUGCUGCAGAGUUUGAGGGAAAGCUGAGCAAGACCCGUGAUGCAGGAAGGCAGUUCUUCCCAAAGACUAAAAGAGGAUUUAAAAUAAAUAAAUAGAAGCGUCCGGAGAUCCUGCUCCGUCGCCCCAGUGUUCAGACUACCUGUUCAGGACAAUGCUGUUGUACAGUAGUCUGCACAUUGGUUAGACUGGGCAAGGGAAAGCAACGGCAUGGACUAUUGGGGACGCAAGUUGCGCUUGCCAAGGAGAAGACAGUUAUUGCUCCUUUCAGAUCUCAUAUACAGUAUUUUUCUUCACAGGUUUUGCACACUAGGGAAUAAGAAACGCUAAGGGACACUGAGAAAAAAGGAGGACUUCAGAAUAAUGCGGGAAAGACAUUCUGGUAAGGCCUACUUUGGAAGAACACCUGGCCUAUAACCUGACGAACCUAGGUGAUUUCCCCUCCCCCAUCCUUCCAAUCAUCACCGCAAGAAAGAUGGAGCUCUGAUGAUUUACUAAAACGUAUGCAAGAAACAGAAAGAGCACCGGCUGGGGCGAAUGAACAUUGUGGCUGACUUCCUAUCCUGACUGACAAGACAACAAUGGACCAGAGGGAAUGGUGACAGACAAAAAGAAUGGAUCCGGACAAAAGAUGAUGACAGAGAUCUCUUGGGGACUCUCCACUGGGGGGGAGGUGUGUGACAGGCUGUCUGAAGCACCUUGCCACGAACAGAAUCAGAAAGAAAUAAAAGAGAGAAACUUACUUCACGGAGCAGGAGGAGCCACGCCAAACCCUGCCACGAUCAGGACGAUCAGGAGUCGGCUGGGGUUGCACCAGAUCGAAGGCACGAGAAGAAAAAGUGGUGUGAGAAAAGAACAAAGAGAAAGGGAGAGGUACCAUGCUGGUGAGCAAAGAAGGAACAGCUGGGUCAGGCAGGCAGCCAAUAGGGAACUGCCACGAUGGACCCAGCUGAAGACAGGAAAAUUUAAGGGAUGCCGGGGGAGCACCCUGAGAGAGGCAGAGGAAGAAAGAAAGCAGAGAAGAGCAUAAGAGAAGAGGAGAGAGCAGAAGCACUGAAACAGGAGAGAACAGGCAUACUGCAGAGUAUAUCAGUAGUAAAAUGUGUGAAGUCCUACAGAAAAUUGGGAGUGGUAAAGUAUUUGCUUGGUGGACUGACAAUGCAAGUAACAUGAAAGCAGCAUGGGAGAUCAUAAUGGAUAAAUAUCCACAUAUUACUGCAAUAGGAUGUGCAUCCCAUGGGCUAAACUUGCUUCUUAAUGACAUCAUGAAGUUGGACAAUACAAAAGAUCUAUAGAAGAGCAAAAGAAGUUCUAAAGAAAGAAGUUCUAAAGUAUGUAAAAGCUACUCAUAUUGUAGCUGCAAUCUUUUAAGAAGCAGAAAGAAAAGAAUGCAAAGAAUAAAAUAGCGACACUCAAACUGUGUAGUAAAACUAGAUGCUACUGCAUUUGGCUGGAUUACAAAACAGGCAACACAUUUAGGACUUGAUAUAGGAAAGGCAUUUUCAAACAUUGCAGAAAGCUGAACAUCUUCAGGUAUUUGGUCCAGAAAUGCAGUCUGGGACUCUGCCAAGCAUAUCCCUGGGCUGACCCCAAGCAUAUCUCUCCUGCAACAUGGUGGCAAGGCUUUCGCACAACAUAUCCUGACUGCUCUUGCUUCUCGCCUGCUUCAGAGUCCUCCAUCUUCUGCAGCAUGUGAAAGAACCUUGUCUAUGUUUGGAAAUGCUCACACCAAAUCAAGAAAUAAACUAACGUGAACGAGUAGAGAAGCUUGCCUCAAUCUGGGCAAAUCUUCAGUUUUCAGAAGUCCAUGAAGAUGAUAAAGAUGAAGGAUUAGAAGAAGCAGAAACUGCUGAUAGUAAUAGCUCAGAAAAUUAAACAAAUGUAGCAAAAUUUGUAUUCAAUGAGUCUUGGCUUUUUCCCCCCUUUUCUUCUCAGCUCUUUUUCUAAAAAUGAGUACUUUCUGUAUCUGCUUGACACUGUAGAGGAGACUAAGUCCAGAAUACAAAAUAACUUUCUUUGUUUUACUAUAAUGUUGAUGGUUUCAUUUUCAACUUUAAUUUUUGCCUGCUUCUCAUAAACUAGCAAAAACUAAGAGAUGCUAGGUUCCUUAGAGUUCAGCAGCUUGUAGCUCCAGUUGUAACAAAAAUUAAAAACAUUUUAAAGUAAAUUCAAUUAGUAAAUGUGUAAUUAUUGGCUGAAUAAACUAUACUUUUACAUUUAAUAAAUAUACCAGACAUGAUAAUUUUAUGAGCAAACCAAGUUAUACAUAAUACAUUUUAUGUUCUUAAAGUAGCAAAGUGAAUCUAGAUCUGUAAAGCGUGCUAAGGAAAUAAGUAUUGCAUAUAUCUACAUUUUCCCCAAAAUUUCCAUUCUUUUCCAAAAAAAAAUGGGGGGAAAAUGUUUUUUUUUCCAUGGCUUCAAAAUUUCCAGAAAUUUUACAUCUCUAGUUAAGGCUUUUCAUAAAAUAAUACAGGUAAAAUCUUUAGGGGAGUCCUUCACCAUACAGUUUCCUGACCCAUCAGAUUUCAUGUUUACUCCCACCUGUCCCUUGGUCUUCUCCUCCCUUUCUCGAAUAUAGCCAGCGACAAUCCUUUCAGUUUCUUCGCAAAGUCUUGGAUAGGUUGCCAACUGUAAAAUAAAAGGAUUAGGUUUUUAACUUUCUAGGUGAUGUUAAAAGCAUAUAAAUGUAGGAUUUAUAUUAUACAAGAUUUCAUCCCUAGAGAAAAGGAGUUUUGGAAAAUACUAAUAACAACAAGAACCUAUGAAAAAAGAUUAAUUACCAGCAAUAAUCAUUUUAGAGUAGACAUAAAGACACAGAAACUCUUGAAAUGGGGGUGUAUAUUUGUUUUAUAAUAUGCUCAAGGGAGUAAUGAUCAAUUUGGGUGCAUGCUCCUUUGCAGAAAUGGAAAACAAUAUGCAUGGGACCCCAUAACUAAUGCCAUCAAAUCUUGUUCAUUUUUUCUGAAUCCCUGGCAAAGCUUUUCUAAAAUGGAAGGAAGAAGAAUGGAGAAAGAAGAUCCAAGAGUUGUGAUCCAAGAGUAUGUGAGUUUCAAGAACAACAUACUGCUAAGGAACCUUUUUUGUUUUAUAAUUUUUGAGUAUUGGCUGCAAAGAUCUGGAAGACUUCCACUUAUCUCAACAUAGGAUGAUUAAUAUUUGCAUGGUUACAUGCUAUUAAAACCAGCUCAGGGGUAUUUUUUCAUCUAAUUUUUGCCCCCUAGCUGCAAUUGGUAAAUUGUAAGGUUUAGAGAAACACCUUGAGCACACCAAUAAACUGGUUUAGAUUAAACUCAUGUAAUUUUAGACAGAAAUUUUGGACAUGAACAUAUAAUUACUGCAAUUUAUCAGGCAUUAGCUCUCUCCAAGUAUCCCGGCUGAGCAAUGCAGUCUUGAGAGAUAAAGAACAUCCUCACCACAAUGAACCCCCAUGGGACUGGAACAAAAGCUCUAAAAGAAGAAGUUGGCUAUAAUACGGUUAGUCAAUUUGCAGCAUCCUCAUCAUCACAAAAAAAUCAGUUCUGGCUGCUGGGAUUGUUAAAUGCUGGGGUUUGUUAUAAAUGGAGUUUGAGAUAAUACUGCUGGGCUGUAAUUAGUGGGAAAUAUUCUCUCAAGCACUGAAAUAAUGAACAUGAUUCACAGAUGUGAUUUUAUCAACAAAGUGUUGGCUAGUAAGAAAUGGGAAGACAACUCCAAAUCCAUUCAGUGGGCUAGUAAUAAUUGGGCUUGCAAGUCUGACAAACAGGAUAGUUUUGACAGAUGGUUAUAAGAUAGAAUGACUGUACUUUGGACUAGUCUAACACUGUAUAAGUAUUUAUCAUUUAUGUAUGGGGGGGGUUGGGUUUUUUGGGGGGGUUUUGUGUUUGUUUGUUUUACACAAAAUAGUACCUGCAUGCCAAACAGGGCAACAUUUGAAAUCGGAAUUGUAGAAAUCCGUGAAUGUACUUUUACUGGAAGUUCACAGUAAAAACCUGUUCCUUUCAGA